UGGGGAAUAUUGGGCAAUGGAGGCAACUCUGACCCAGCAAUGCCGCGUGAGUGAAGAAGGUUUUCGGAUUGUAAAGCUCUUUAAGUGGGGACGAAGAAAGUGACUGUACCCACAGAAUAAGCAUCGGCUAACUACGUGCCAGCAGCCGCGGUAAUACGUAGGAUGCAAGCGUUAUCCGGAAUGACUGGGCGUAAAGGGUGCGUAGACGGUUUUGCAAGUUGGUAGCGUAAUCCCGGGGCUUAACUCCGGAACUACUACCAAAACUGCAAGGCUGGAGUGCGGUAGGGGUAUGUGGAAUUCCUAGUGUAGCGGUGGAAUGCGUAGAUAUUAGGAGGAACACCAGAGGCGAAGGCGACAUACUGGGCCGUAACUGACGUUGAGGCACGAAAGCGUGGGGAGCAAACAGG
rnacentral:rRNA from 2 species